rnacentral:lncRNA from 1 species
AGCCGGGGGAUCGGGCGAUACCUAUUCGGGGGACCAGACUCAAGCCGGCAUCAUAGAGAGCUUGUUCGGUAACAAGCUCCCUCUGCUUCGGUACCGACAUAUCCUUCAGUCGGUGGAAGUCCUCCCGGUCGUCCGCCUCCACCCGACUGUUGUCGUUGGCCUCGGUUCGGGGUACACCCCAACGAGAAGGAAAGCCCCAAG